rnacentral:rRNA from 1 species
UGGGGAAUAUUGGACAAUGGGCGCAAGCCUGAUCCAGCAAUGCCGCGUGUGUGAAGAAGGCCUUCGGGUUGUAAAGCACUUUUAUCAGGAGCGAAACGCUGUCGGCUAAUACCCGGCGGAACUGACGGUACCUGAGGAAUAAGCACCGGCUAACUUCGUGCCAGCAGCCGCGGUAAUACGAAGGGUGCAAGCGUUAAUCGGAAUUACUGGGCGUAAAGCGUGCGUAGGCGGUUUCUUAAGUCUGCUGUGAAAUCCCCGGGCUCAACCUGGGAAUGGCAGUGGAUACUGGGAGGCUAGAGUGUGUCAGAGGGUGGUGGAAUUCCCGGUGUAGCGGUGAAAUGCGUAGAGAUCGGGAGGAACAUCAGUGGCGAAGGCGGCCACCUGGGACAACACUGACGCUGAGGCACGAAAGCGUGGGGAGCAAACAGGAUUAGGAUACCCUGGUAGUCCACGCCCUAAAGCGAUGCGAACUGGAUGUUGGUCUCAACUCGGAGAUCAGUGUCGAAGCUAACGCGUUAAGUUCGCCGCCUGGGGAGUACGGUCGCAAGACUGAAACUUAAAUGAAUUGAC